AGUAGGAUUACUGAAUCAUAUGAAAAGUCCAUGUUAACUUUGUAAGAAACUGCCAAAUUGUUUUCUGUGGUGGCUGCAUCAUUUGCAACCCCACCAGCAAU
rnacentral:pre_miRNA from 1 species